AUCUUGUUGAUGAGUCCCAUAUAGGACGAAAUACGUGUCUUGGAU
rnacentral:hammerhead_ribozyme from 1 species